UGGUGUGCAAGAUACCUUUGCACACCAACCUAGCCUUUUCCUAAGAAACCUUGACAUUCGCUCCUCGUUUCUCACUCACCGUAUCUCCGCUAUCUUUGUUGAAGAAAUCCCCAAAUUUUCUCAUUUCUCACAGAUCUACUAUCAAUGGCUUGCAAGUUCUUUGACCUCCUGAUUGGGUUUCAAUGCGGUUUGUAUUUAUAUCUCUCCACACCAAUUCUAGGUUUAAAUUUGUGUAAUUUGGGGUUUUCUUUUCCAUUUGGAUGAAUUUUCGACUCACCAAAUAUGGGUAGUUAGAUUUCUAUUAUCAAUCCUGGUUUAUUUUUUUUCAAUGUUUGUUAUGUAAAGGAUCCAACGGAGGCAGCUGCAGAAACUCCUAUUGAGUUUUAGUUUUUUAAUUUCCGUAAAACUUGUUUUGUGUGGAGUCGGUGUUAAAUUGAUGAAAUUCCGCAUUUAACUGCCAAUCAGGUGUUGAUGAUCGAUUACUUAGGUUCAUAAUAGACCUAUCCAUCUCUAGAAUCAGAGUUGCAUGUCACUUCAGGGACAACGACCCUUAAAAGCCAUAAAGAAGACAGUUGAUCUAAAGACAGAAGUAGUGUACCAAGAGAACCCUGACAGCAACUUUGUCAAGUCCAACAAAUUCUCCUACGCCAUCGUUGUGGUGGGGGAAUGCCCUUACGCUGAGAUAUUCGGUGACAACUUGAAUUUAAUGAUAGCUGACCUAGGUUACACCACCAUCAAAAAUGUAUGUGGGGCAGUGAAGUGUGUUGUUGUUGUCAUCUCAGGCAGGCCUGUUGUAAUCGAGCCAUACGUUUCUAAGAUGAAUUCCCUAGUAGUUGUAUGGCUACCAGGAAGUGAGGGUCAGGGUGUUGCUGAUGUUCUAGAAACCUGAUCUGACAAGUUGUCAGUUUAGAAGUUGUGGAUCGCUGCUUCCUGUAUAUCAUCUAGUGUUAUUGGAGCUUGCUAUCAUAUGUUGUAGGUGAGGAUUGGCAAAAAAUACUUUGUAUUAUAAAAGUAAAGAUUGAUGAUAUGAAGAUCCAAACAUCAGGUGCUUCCAAUUGUGUCUCAGCAGUCAGCACCACUUGAUCGGAGAAAUCAAAACAUAUUGUUUAACAGAAAAGCAGAGAAAGUAAACUGAGAGCAGGUAUUUACUCUACAUUACUUGCUAUCUUUAUAGAGUAACCUCUCUCUGAAUGGUACUUUGUUCUUUUUGCUAGACAAACAUGGAAUCUCUUUUACUUUUGACUUCUAUGUAGAGGGAGCAACUUCCUACUCUGCCACUAGCCUUUAGCAUCUAUCUGAACUUUGCCUGAGUUUAGUUAGCAAGAGUAUGGUCGGAGAAGAAAAGUGAAGCAGAGAGAAGUACCAAACAAACUGAAGCAUUUGGGUUUUCCAAAAUUGGUGAUAAAUAUCCAUUUUUCUUAUUAUUUAAUUCUUGUAAGUUCUGAAGGUCCUGUCGGGUUUUCCAGAAUUAUGUUGCUAUUGAUGUUGUCAAAUAAGCUUGACCACACCUUUCAUUGUGAUUUGCUUCAUGUCUUUUAAAGCACUAAUUCCUAACAUUAAGGCUCUGAUUGGCAACCGCUUUUAAUAUAGCUUUUAAAGUUUUGACAGUCAAAACUAUGGCUAAAGUUCAGUUAGCUAUUAGUGGCGAGGUAAUGUUUUGAUAUCGAUUCUGGAAAAGGCUAAAAAAGAAGAUUUAGGUUGGAGCUUUUGGAGGUUAAAUGGAGUUCACUCGUAACAAAUUUUUCCAAACAUCCAAUAGGCUCUAAGUUUCGGGGAAAUUAUGUACUUGUGUGUAUGAUUCAACUGAAAGGUUAUGAUUUAUGCAUGACUGAGUCAAGCUAGCUGGUUUUGGUAUUUAUUGUUGGUUUUGCUUCAAACAAAUUACUUGAUGCUUCACCGUGUUCCAUUCUACUAUACAAGUAUGACGACCCUCAUCCCUCAAACAUGUCACGUACUAGUUAGAUGAUGAUAACCCAUACAACUCAUGUAUUCCAGUUUAUUUUCUAUAUUAGCAAUAUAAUUGCAUGCUUGAUUUACAAUGAUUCAUAUCUUGAUUGUUUGACUUGGAUUAGGAAAUCGUUUACAACUCAGUUGUUCAGAUACGUACUUAUUCUUAUUAUUUUGCACUUCUAGUAUAAAAGCUUGGUGCACUCAAUAUCAUUGAAAUUUGGGUGCAUGUAUUCGUUUCAUUCUUUACAGUGGACUUUUAUUAAUUUAUUUUUACACUGUGGGAAAAACUAGCUUAUCGUUUUUAUAAUUUUUUUUUGAGGUCCGUGAGGCAUUUGAAGAUUAUGGUGGUGGAAGAAAGGAAUGAAGGGAUGAUGCGUAGCUCCUUCUACUAUGAAGCUCAUACUCUUGAACAGGCUUCGAUUGGCCUUUGCAUGUUUUCAAGAUGAAAUUUUAGACUAAUAGGUUUUUGUAUUACUUAAUUUUAUACUUAAGUUUUUGUAACCCCUCUCUUUAUCUUUUUAUAAAAAAUUAAUCCAUUAUUCGGAGUA